UGACUAUUUUGUAUGUGCAUUGAACAAACAAUAUUAACAAUUAACAAUUCUCAAAUGCAGACAUAGUUGCAAUUACAAUAUGUAACAGUG